AGCGAACGCUGGCGGCAGGCCUAACACAUGCAAGUCGAGCGGAUCCUUCGGGAUUAGUGGCGGACGGGUGAGUAACACGUGGGAACGUGCCCUUUGGUUCGGAACAACUCAGGGAAACUUGAGCUAAUACCGGAUGUGCCCUUCGGGGGAAAGAUUUAUCGCCAUUGGAGCGGCCCGCGUCUGAUUAGCUAGUUGGUGAGGUAACGGCCCACCAAGGCGACGAUCAGUAGCUGGCCUGAGAGGAUGAUCAGCCACACUGGGACUGAGACACGGCCCAGACUCCUACGGGAGGCAGCAGUGGGGAAUCUUGCGCAAUGGGCGAAAGCCUGACGCAGCCAUGCCGCGUGAAUGAUGAAGGUCUUAGGAUUGUAAAAUUCUUUCAGCGGGGACGAUAAUGACGGUACCCGCAGAAGAAGCUCCGGCUAACUUCGUG
rnacentral:rRNA from 1 species